UGAUGAGUUGAUAAACAAAUUGGU
rnacentral:siRNA from 1 species